AACGAACGCUGGCGGCAUGCCUAACACAUGCAAGUCGAACGAGACCUUCGGGUCUAGUGGCGCACGGGUGCGUAACGCGUGGGAACCUGCCCUUAGGUUCGGAAUAACUCCCCGAAAGGGGUGCUAAUACCGGAUAAUGUCUUCGGACCAAAGAUUUAUCGCCUUUGGAUGGGCCCGCGUUGGAUUAGCUAGUUGGUAGGGUAAAAGCCUACCAAGGCGACGAUCCAUAGCUGGUCUGAGAGGAGGAUCAGCCACACUGGGACUGAGACACGGCCCAGACUCCUACGGGAGGCAGCAGUGGGGAAUAUUGGACAAUGGGCGAAAGCCUGAUCCAGCAAUGCCGCGUGAGUGAUGAAGGCCUUAGGGUUGUAAAGCUCUUUUACCCGGGAUGAUAAUGACAGUACCGGGAGAAUAAGCUCCGGCUAACUCCGU
rnacentral:rRNA from 1 species